CGGCUGGUCCGGUUGGGCAAAGAGAGGCGGGUGGGGGGUCAAGGCUUGAGAAGAGCCACAUCCUCCGACAAGGCCACGCUCCCAACUCCUCUCCCAGAGACACUCGUGUGACCUACCGGAAUGCAGUGACAGCGCAGACCGGUGUAUCCCGGGGGACAGGUGCAGCGGAAGCCACCCACUAGGUCUACGCAGGGCACGCUCCGGAGGUCACAGAGGCGGCCGCUCCACCCCGGAGGGCAAAGGCAGUAGAAGGACGCCCCGGUCCGGGCACAGCGACCCCCGUUCUGACAGGGCGCACGGCUGCACCAGUCUACCAGCGUCUGCGGGGGAAACGGUCAGCAUCAGUGCUGGAGGACCCCCGAGGAGUCGCACCCCGGCUUCUCCAGGGCCCCAGGGCAGUCCCCUACCCCGGAGCAGCCCUCCAAAUUCCUCUCCCCGCCCCCCCCCACCCUGUGACCCUGCCCACCUGGCACUGCGCGCCAGUGAAGCCCUCUGGGCAGGUGCAGCGGUAGCCAGGGUGGGCAGCGGUGCAGACUCCCCCGUGCAGGCAGGGCCGAGAGAGGCAGGGGUCGGCCUCGUGCUGGCAGUGCGCGCCCGUGUAGCCAGGGCGGCACUGGCAGCUGAACGAGUUCACACCGUCCACGCAGGUCCCGCCGUGGAAGCAGGAGCUGGAGGGGAAGCGAGGAAGUGAGGGGUGGUUCAGGCUCCACACCCAUGCAGGCCCCGCCUUCUGGCCCAGCCUCCCGUCAAGAGGGCCCUACCCCUACCUUUAGGGACCAGUGUCCCCAAGGUGACCUCCAAACAAAUGCCCUGACCCUUCCCGGACACUCCUCCAUCACGGAUCAGAGUUGUGAGGUGGAGUAAGAGUGAGAGUCCCCACUUCCUCUCACGUUCCACACCCCAUCCAUUACCAAGGUCCCUGAGCUCCCAGGAGCAGCCCCACACACCUGGGGCUGCAGUCGGGCAGGUCCUGCUCACAGUGGAAGCCUCCAUAACCAGGUGGGCAGGUGCAGGUAAAGGAGGCCACGUGGUCCGUGCAGGUGCCCGGGCCACAGGGGCUGCUCAGGCACUCAUCCACAUCUCGGGCACAGCGAGGACCAGCAAAGCCAGGGAGGCAGGAGCACGAAAAGGAGCCCACGCCAUCCUGACAGGAGCCACCAUUCAGGCAGGGGUCUAAGGUCCGAAGGGAGAAGGCCUGGUCAUACACCUGGCCCCCCAUCAGCCCAACCUGACCCAGCCAUGCCUUUCAUAGAAGGGAAUCGGGAGGAAACCAGCCUUAACAGGCAGGGGCAUAUUUGGUCAGCGGAAUCCAGUUCUGUCCCCUCUGUGGCCUUAUCCCCUCCCUUAGCUGGAAACCUCACCUAUGUGCAAGGAGGGUGGAGACAGAGGAGCCAAAAGGUCCCCUGAGCUGCCAAGCCCAUGCGGUUAAGUUAUGUCUAUUUAUUCCUGGGCACAGCACAGAAGGCCUCCUCCAGACCCAGGCUGGCCAGAAUAGUGGCCAUGGGCCACAUGGGGCUCUUAAGCCCUUGACAUGUGGCUAGUCCAAAAGGGGAUGUGCUGAAGUAUAAAAUAAACACUAGAUUUCUGAUUUUGAAGACUUAGUGUGGAAAGAAAAUGAAUGUAAAAUAUCUCAAAUAAUUUUAUAUUG